rnacentral:rRNA from 1 species
GCAAGAUACCACGGGCGCACGGCGGAUGCCUUGGCACAGGGAGCCGAUGAAGGACGCGGCAAGCUGCGAUAAUCCCCGGCGAGGAGCACACAUCCUUCGACCCGGGGGUCUCCGAAUGGGCGAACCCAUCCGUAGCAGUACGGAUAUCCCCCCGCUGAACACAUAGGCGGGGGGAGGACGACCCGGGGAACUGAAACAUCUAAGUACCCGGAGGAGAGGAAAUCAAUCUCGAGACUCCCCGA